UACAGAGGGGGCAAGCGUUGUUCGGAAUUACUGGGCGUAAAGGGCGCGUAGGUGGCCUUCUAAGUUGAACGUGAAAUCCCUGGGCUCAACCCAGGAACUGCGUCCAAGACUGGGAGGCUUGAAUCCGGGAGAGGGAUGCGGAAUUCCAGGUGUAGCGGUGAAAUGCGUAGAUAUCUGGAGGAACACCGGUGGCGAAGGCGGGUCUCUGGGCCGAUACUGACGCUGAGGAGCGAAAGCGUGGGGGGCGAACAGG
rnacentral:rRNA from 1 species